GCCUCACCCUUCCUCGUGGAGUGUUUUUGAGGUUUUAGAUAUUUCGGUAGGUUUCACUCGAUUUUGCGAGAACGGAGAAAUAAGCGACGUCCACAGGGCUUUAUUUAAAAACUGCAAUCCUUCGAAUGUGGUCGACUUCGAGCGUAGGACGGCGUACAAGGUGUCUUGGGACGGCCACGCGAACACUCGAGGCGGCUAUUACGACGCCGAGAUCCUCGAACUGACGGGGCUGUGCAUUCUACAAAGGGCAGCGAUCGGACUGUCCUCUCAUCUCGACAGCGUUUCUGUCGCUGUACCAUCAUAACGCUACUGUUCGAUGGGUAAUUCGUUUUCAGGACUACCUGCGGCUCGGCUGUUGAUGCGGGAGGUGCUGUAGGGCCCUACUGCCUAACACUUGCUGACGAGGACAUCCUUGCAAAGAAUGAGAUCGUGGAUCCUAGCAUCGGCCUCCAGAAAAGGAAGGAAUGAUCCAUGUCGGGCAAGGUGUGCACGUCAACCAGGAAUGCGGGCAACAUGCGGAAAGCAGAGUGCGACUCUAUGUUUUGCAAGAUCACUGCUGCUUCCAUAGGGCUGCUUUUGACUACACCUGAGGGAGAAAGGUACCGCCAGGCUGAAAGGGCAGCCCGGCACCAGAACAUACGGCGGUACCUGUAAGAAAAGCUGUCCAAUCUCAAGAGAAAUCACUACAAAGGCUCAUCCCUUUGCUGCCUGUCCUCCCCCGAUGCGUGGUCCGACCACGGACUGCCCAUGCUGUUGCAGGUCUGCCAUCGCUUGCACCCCAUGUUGCAGCCUUUUUACCCUUUUC